AGCAGCCGCGGUAAUUCCAGCUCCAAUAGCGUAUAUUAAAGUUGUUGCAGUUAAAAAGCUCGUAGUUGAAUUUCGAGAUCGAAUUGUUGGUCGUGCCUCGGUACGUACUGGCAUUAUUGAUUUCUCCUUUCUGAAGAACCUUGAUGUCAUUAAUUUGGUGUCUCGGGGAAUCAGGACCGUUACUUUGAAAAAAUUAGAGUGUUUAAAGCAGGCUCACGCUUGAAUACAUUAGCAUGGAAUAAUGAAAUAGGACGUUUGAUUCUAUUUUGUUGGUUUCUAGGAUCGACGUAAUGAUUAAUAGGGAUAGUUGGGGGCAUUAGUAUUCAAUUGUCAGAGGUGAAAUUCUUGGAUUUAUUGAAGACUAACUACUGCGAAAGCAUUUGCCAAGGAUGUUUUCAUUAAUCAAGAACGAAAGUUAGGGGAUCGAAGACGAUCAGAUACCGUCGUAGUCUUAACCAUAAACUAUGCCGAC
rnacentral:rRNA from 1 species